GGGUGGAUUGGGUUAUGAUAUGUUAUUGAGCAAACUUCAUUUAUAGCUCAUCGACCCAAACAUAUUUCAUCCGGUAGCCCAAAAACUGCAACAUACAUUUUAUAGCCCAAAAAUAAUUUUAGUGGCUAGCCCAAAAGUACUGAGGCUCAGAUGUAAAGACAGAUCACGGAAAAGAGCGGCGACCACGCUAUGGCUACAAAAUCACUGAUUGCAUCCAAUUCUCAAACGGCUGGAAAAUAGCGUCCAAGUUUGGGUUAGUUGGUGGCAUACCGGAGCGUAGAGUUCGACCCAUCUGGGAUGCCAUUGAUUCUCGCCAGUUCAAAAAUGCUCUCAAGCACUGCACCCCUCUCCUCUCCAAAUACCCCAAUUCCCCUUAUGCUCUGGCACUUAAAGCUUUGGUUUCGGAAAGGAUAGGUAAAGCGGAAGAAGCAUUUUCCUUAACUAAGAAAUUCACAUAUCUAUGUUAGAGAUAAUUUACAGAUAAGUCUUUUAUUAGUAGGGUGAAGGAGAGAAAUGGUGAAUGCUCUGAGUUUACUGAAAGAUUCAACUAUUACUGCUAUUAUUAUAUAUAUGUUGUCCAUCCAAAUAAUUAUAAAGAUAACUUCAUGCCAAAAUCAAGUGUUAUUUUCAGCCUCUCAUUGUGGCAGUUAGAAGUUGGUAAACUUUAGUGGAAAGUCCUGUUUUUCUUGUGAUAGCUUAGUAGGAUUAGGCACUAAAUCCUUACUUAUUUCGCCCCUCUCUGAAUUAGACUGUUAAUGUAUAAAAUAUAUACUAAAUAGACUGUUACUAUACAAAAAUUACACAAAAUAAACUGUCACUAUACAAAAUAAACUGUCAAUAUACCAAAAAUAUACANNNNNNNNNNNNNNUUGUUAGCUAAUACUUAUUAGAUCCAGAAGUACAUUUAGAAAGGCAAAAAAGGGUUGCUAUGUCACGCCAAGUGAGGGUCGAACCUGCGACCUUUAGCUUAGGAAACAGGUGCUCUAACCACUGAGCUAGAAGCACUUGUGUUGUCAUGCUUAUUCCUUUCGGCUACUAUAUGCAAUACGUUUGGACCGAAGGGCCUUUUUUGUAAGUAGGACAAAACAUAGACUAUUAAAAUUGUGAGGGGCUAUAGAGGGUAGUUUUCUCUAUGUUAUUUGACUUAUUUUAAUCCAACUUAUAUAGGCCCAAGGAAACUUUUGGCCCUCUAACUUUGAAGAAGAAUGUUAGAUAAAUCACCAUAGUUUAGAGCCUAAUUAUAACAAAUGAAUAUAUAAAAUAUUCUUGUUGAGAGUCAAACUCAAAACCCCUGCUAACUAAGCGGACGCUCUAACAAACUAAGCAACAAGAGCUUGUUACUCUCUUGUUUCAGUUCAAAACAAUUAAUCUCUUAUUUUAUGAAUUUGCUAUAAAAUUUAAAUAUAGCUAUGAAUAAUAAUACAAUAUAGAUGUAUCGUAUAUCAAAAGCGACUGCUAGAUAAUUCAAAAGUAGUAUUCCCUUUCUCUCUAUUAAGGCAUUUCAUUCAAUUUAAAUCUUUUUUAUUUAAUUUUUGCUUAAACACGACAUUUACUGUAUAAGUUUAAUCAUCAUAUUUAUUACAUGGUAAAGGGACUUGUUCGUAAAAUUUAUCAAAAUUUUAUGAACAAGUCCCGUCCCGUCCCGCGUCCCGUCUCGUCCCAUUUCAUUUUAAAUGGGAUAGGCCAAUGUUAAACAGGACACUGGAUGAGAUGAUUUCGUCCCGUUUCGUCCCGUCCCGCGAGUUUUUAUGGAAUAUUUGUGGAAUUUUUGUUGUAUUUGGUAUGUAUAAAACAAAUUCAACUUAUGCACCGGCCAUUAAUGAAAUGAUUGCAAAAUUUAAAAAGUAUUUUUUCUCUAUUCCCCAAGUUUAUUUAAUUUCUACAAUACUUAACCUAUAUUUAAAAUUAAGAGGUGCAAAGGGGGUUCGUAAAAUUUAUCAAAAUUUAGCAAUUCAAUAAAAUGAACAACCAUCUCUCGAAGACUUCCAAGCUAACAUAUAUUCUUGUGCUAGAAUCUAGAUCAAUGUUUGAUAAUUAUAAAUCUAUGAAAACAAUAGGUGGUGAAACUGUUCCUUCUACUUCUAAGUUUAGAGUAGAACUUCUAUAGGAAGAUAUGAAUUAUAUAACAUAUUCUGAUUCCUCUAUUGAUGAUGAACUUGAUUCUUAGCAUUGGAGAAUGCUUUUAGCGCAUUAAUAUUUCAAAUCGGAGAUCAUAGAGGCCUAAUUCAAACAGAAACCUUCCUAGAAGGUGGUUGCGUAGAUUAGGUACUCUUCAAAAGAAUUAUAUUUGAAUGUGAGAUUUUAAAGUUUUAUUAAUAAAAUAACAUGCUCUAAGCAUUGAAUUUUUUUUUUAUGAAUUGUCUUAGUUACUUAAUACUUUGAAAUUAUAUUAAAUAAAUUAUAACUCUAUUAUAAAUUUACAAUUACUAGAAUAUUUCAUUACAAGUCUAUUGUUUUAAUAUUUUAUAAUUCUUUACUUAGUUUUCUAAUUUCCGUUUUAAUAUUUAAGUUUAUUAAAUAAGUCAAAAAACUAGCCAUUGCGAACUUUAAAAACUUAGUCAUUUUAAAAAAACUAGACGUUUUUUUUUAUAAAAAAACUACACUUUAAGGCCCGCGAACCCGUCUCGUCCCGUCCCGUCCCGUUCCGUCCCUUGCCGUUUGCUAGCGGGACGGGAUGGGCCGAACGUUUCGUCCCGUUUGUCCCGUCCCGUUUCAUCCCAUCCUGCCGUCGUCCCGCUUAAAUGUCAUCCCGUCCUAUCUCAUCCCAUUAAUUUGAUUCCGGCCCGUCCCAUUGGACAACCAUAGUCUAGAUCGACAAUUGGGUAGCCCAGUAUACAGUCCACAUUUUUUAAUAACAAUGGUCGAACUAUGACCCCAAUCUUAAUAUACGAGCAAAAUGAAUUGAAAUAGAAAACAGAAAGAAAAGAGAGGAAUCAGAAAUAAAUGAAGAGAUAAAAGACACCAAGGACGGAAACAAGAAUAAAAGAGGAGAAAUACCUAAAAGGCCAACAAGCCUGUAUGGACCUCCGGCGUCUCUGAUUUAGACCAAAAUUAGUAUUAUCCGCAUGCUCUCCUCGAGAAUGAACGGACCAUACUAUUUUCAGUCCAAAUCGUUCUUGAAAAUCUGGGAAAAUUCUCUUUUCUUCUUCUCUCUUUUUAGAUCUAAAACUGACUGGAUUCAAUGAGGGUUUUGUAGAUAUUUGUACCAUCAUAGUACUUGAAGGAUUAUGGGGAGUAUAGGGUUGAUUUUUGGUGGUGUUUGGGAAGUCAAUCGCUUGUGAAAAUGGUAGAAUUCCUAAGGCUAUACUAGGGUUGAAGACUGAUAGAGAUGAGAACAGUACAGGGGUGCUUGGGUGGACUGAAUAUUCUCUGAAGUUUUGGACAUUAUUAAGGGUUUGAAAAGAUAUGUUUUGGACCGUUUGAUGCAUUAAAAUGAACGGCCCAGAUCUGCCGAGCUCAAACGACAUCGUUUGGUUAUAAGGCGGAAUUGGGUCGGGUAUUGGGUGGACUGGGCUGGAUUUUAAACGGGUAAAAGGGAAUCGAGCUGGGCUUAAAAGCUUUGAACAUGACUUGGCCCAGAUCUGAUUUUUAUUCCUUUGCUUUUCAUUUUUCCAAAUUUCUUUCUUUGCUCUUAAUUCUUUUUCUUCCUUUUUCAAGAUUAAAUCUAAAUCUAUUAAAUCCUAAAACCUAAUUAACCUAUCAAAAAUACUAAUUAAACCCGAAUAACAAUUACCUCAAUUAAAGAAAAUAAAUUAAAAGAAAACUACUCAAAAUUCAAAAUUAAAAGUAAAAGUGCAAGUUAAACUAUUUUUUUGUGAUUUUUUUUUAUAAAUUAAUUAAUUAAUUAAUCCUAAAAUUUUAAAUUAAAUCCUAAAUGCAAAUGCACAUAUUUUUUUGUAUUUUUCAUUAAUCAAAUAAAGUAAACAUGUACAGACAAUAUGCAAGCAAUAACAGAAAAUGCCACAAAAAUCCACAAAAUUGCAAAUAAUGAAAGAAAUUAUUUUGUUUUGAAUUUGUGGGAGUAAUUCAUAUAGGGCAAAAAUCACGUGCUCACAUUAAUUGUUGUUCUAGUUUUCAAUAUCGUUACUCAUCUUUGAACAGUAUAUAGAAGUUAUCUUACUUAACGGGUCAAAUCUUAAGUAUACAAGUUGAACUAUAAAAUUAGGCCCAUGUAUUUUUCUGAGGUCAAGUUAUGCACAUACAGGAAACCACUCACUGUCUCAUUCCGAUCAUGUCCUCAUAUGUUAAAUUCAUGUCGUCAUCCAUAGGAAAUUUGUACCUAUUUUUGUCCUUAUUAUAUUACUCCGUUCCUAACAUUUCCCUCUUUAUAUAUAAGUCAUUUCUAAGUAUCUUAUGACAUUCUUAUAAUAUAUCCAGUCAUGGCAAUCGAUGAAAGUGAGAUAAUGAAGCUCGACCUGUUGCCAGAAGAUUGUAUCGUUCAAGUCCU
rnacentral:lncRNA from 1 species